UGAGGAAUAUUGGUCAAUGGGCGAGAGCCUGAACCAGCCACGUCGCGUGAAGGAAGACUGACCUUACGGUUUGUAAACUUCUUUUGUAGAGGGGUAAUGGCAGAUACGUGUAUUUGCGUGAAAGUACUCUACGAAUAAGCAUCGGCUAACUCCGUGCCAGCAGCCGCGGUAAUACGGGGGAUGCGAGCGUUAUCCGGAAUUAUUGGGUUUAAAGGGUGCGCAGGUGGCUAAUCAGGUCAGUGGUGAAAAGCUAUGGCUCAACCAUGGUCUUGCCAUUGAAACCGUAUAGCUAGAGAGGAGACGAGGUAGGCGGAAUGUGUGGUGUAGCGAUGAAAUGCAUAGAUAUCACACAGAACUCCGAUUGCGAAGGCAGCUUACCAGGCUUUAUCUGACACUUAGGCACGACAGCGUGGGGAUCAAACAGG
rnacentral:rRNA from 1 species